rnacentral:rRNA from 1 species
UACAGGGGGUGCAAACGUUGCUCGGAAUUAUUGGGCGUAAAGCGCGCGUAGGCGGCUACCUAAGUCGGAUGUGAAAGCCCCUGGCUUAACUGGGGAAGUGCACCCGAAACUGAGUAGCUAGAGUGCGAAAGAGGGUCGCGGAAUUCCCGGUGUAGAGGUGAAAUUCGUAGAUAUCGGGAGGAACACCAGAGGCGAAGGCGGCCACCUGGACGAGCACUGACGCUGAGAAGCGAAAGCGUGGGGAGCAAACAGG